UCCAGUCCCACCCCCACAGGCAGGGCCACCAACCUCCCCAUUUAAUACCAGACCAGGCUGCCCCAUCCAACCUGAUCCUGAACAGGGAUGGGGCCUCCAUCCCCCAUUCUCUUAGACUGGACUCAGCUGUCCCCGCAGGCAAUGAGAGAUGCAGACCAUCACAAUUUGCUCUCCCCGUCUGCUUAAAGAAGCAAGUGGCUGUGGGAUGCCAAAACCUGCGACUGAGAUCAGAGAGAUCUGAAGGCAUCUCAUCACCCAGAACCUUGAGGGCUACUCAUGUUCUAUGAUUCUUCUGCUACAAACUCAACCUUGUGCCCCUAAAAACCCACAUCCUGGGAUUUAUAUCUAUACCACAAGUAUUGGAACAGGCUGCCAAGGAAGCGGUGAGCUCACCAUAGAUGUGGGACAUGGAACGGUGUCAGAUAAAGGAAGAAUCCUACACCAACACUGGAGGAGGUUCAGAGCUUCAUUAUAUAGAGACCACACUAUCUCCUGUCAUCAAGAAUUUGGCAUGAGAGCUUGGCUGAGAUCCCAUUAUCGAGCCAUUUCUAAAAUAAACCUUACAAACAA